rnacentral:rRNA from 1 species
AUUGAACGCUGGCGGCAUGCUUUACACAUGCAAGUCGAACGGCAGCACGGGCUUCGGCCUGGUGGCGAGUGGCGAACGGGUGAGUAAUGCAUCGGAACGUACCGUGUAGUGGGGGAUAACGUAGCGAAAGUUACGCUAAUACCGCAUACGCCCCGAGGGGGAAAGUGGGGGACCGCAAGGCCUCACGCUAUAUGAGCGGCCGAUGUCGGAUUAGCUAGUUGGUAGGGUAAAGGCCUACCAAGGCGACGAUCCGUAGCGGGUCUGAGAGGAUGAUCCGCCACACUGGGACUGAGACACGGCCCAGACUCCUACGGGAGGCAGCAGCAAGGAAUUUUCGGCAAUGGGCGCAAGCCUGACCGAGCAACGCCGCGUGGAGGACGACGGCCCUUCGGGUUGGUAAACUCCUUUUGUCGGGGGACGGAUUGUGACUGUACCCCGCGAAUCAGGCUCGGCUAACUCUGUG